GCCGCCCCUAGAGGCAUUUCAGGCCUGGCUGCUGUGUCAGAUGUGCGUCAGUAGGUGGCAGAGAGGAGAAGAGGCCAUGUCUGUGCUCCGUGUUCUGACUGCGAACAUCUGAAUGAUCAGUAGCCUAACACU